GACGAACGCUGGCGGCGUGCUUAACACAUGCAAGUCGAACGGAAAGGCCCUGCUUUUGUGGGUUGCUCGAUUGGCGAACGGGGGAGUAACACGUGAGUAACCUGCCCUUGACUUUGGGAUAACUUCAGGAAACUGGGACUAAUACCGGAUAUGAUCUCCUGCUGCAUGUUGGGGGUUGGAAAGUUUCGGCUGUUGGGGAUGGUCUCGCUGCUUAUCAGCUUGUUUGUGGGGUAGUGGCUUACCAAGGCUUUGACGGGUAGCCGGCCUGGGAGGGUGACCGGCGACAUUGGGACUGAGAUACGGCGCAGACUCCUACGGGAGGCAGCAGUGGGGAAUAUUGCACAAUGGGCGGAAGCCUGAUGCAGCAACGCCGCGUGCGGGAUGACGGCCUUCGGGUUGUAAACCGCUUUCGCCUGUGACGAAGAGUGAGUGACGGUAAUGGGUAAAGAAGCACCGGCUAACUACGUG
rnacentral:rRNA from 1 species